rnacentral:rRNA from 1 species
UAAGGGCGCACGGUGGAUGCCUUGGCACUAGAAGCCGAUGAAGGACGUUACUAACGACGAUAUGCUUUGGGGAGCUGUAAGUAAGCUUUGAUCCAGAGAUUUCCGAAUGGGGAAACCCAGCAUGAGUUAUGUCAUGUUAUCGAUAUGUGAAUACAUAGCAUAUCAGAAGGCACACCCGGAGAACUGAAACAUCUUAGUACCCGGAGGAAGAGAAAGAAAAUUCGAUUCCCUUAGUAGCGGCGAGCGAAACGGGAAGAGCCCAAACCAACAAGCUUGCUUGUUGGGGUUGUAGGACACUCUAUACGGAGUUACAAAGGACGACAUUAGACGAAUCAUCUGGAAAGAUGAAUCAAAGAAGGUAAUAAUCCUGUAGUCGAAAAUGUUGUCUCUCUUGAGUGGAUCCUGAGUACGACGGAGCACGUGAAAUUCCGUCGGAAUCUGGGAGGACCAUCUCCUAAGGCUAAAUACUCUCUAGUGACCGAUAGUGAACCAGUACCGUGAGGGAAAGGUGAAAAGCACCCCGGAAGGGGAGUGAAAUAGAACCUGAAACCGUGUGCUUACAAGUAGUCAGAGCCCGUUAAUGGGUGAUGGCGUGCCUUUUGUAGAAUGAACCGGCGAGUUACGAUUUGAUGCAAGGUUAAGCAGUAAAUGUGGAGCCGUAGCGAAAGCGAGUCUGAAUAGGGCGUUUAGUAUUUGGUCGUAGACCCGAAACCAGGUGAUCUACCCUUGGUCAGGUUGAAGUUCAGGUAACACUGAAUGGAGGACCGAACCGACUUACGUUGAAAAGUGAGCGGAUGAACUGAGGGUAGCGGAGAAAUUCCAAUCGAACCUGGAGAUAGCUGGUUCUCUCCGAAAUAGCUUUAGGGCUAGCCUCAAGUGAUGAUUAUUGGAGGUAGAGCACUGUUUGGACGAGGGGCCCCUCUCGGGUUACCGAAUUCAGACAAACUCCGAAUGCCAAUUAAUUUAACUUGGGAGUCAGAACAUGGGUGAUAAGGUCCGUGUUCGAAAGGGAAACAGCCCAGACCACCAGCUAAGGUCCCAAAAUAUAUGUUAAGUGGAAAAGGAUGUGGCGUUGCCCAGACAACUAGGAUGUUGGCUUAGAAGCAGCCAUCAUUUAAAGAGUGCGUAAUAGCUCACUAGUCGAGUGACACUGCGCCGAAAAUGUACCGGGGCUAAACAUAUUACCGAAGCUGUGGAUUGUCCUUUGGACAAUGGUAGGAGAGCGUUCUAAGG